rnacentral:rRNA from 1 species
GAUGAACGCUGGCGGCGUGCCUAAUACAUGCAAGUCGAGCGAACAGACGAGGAGCUUGCUCCUCUAACGUUAGCGGCGGACGGGUGAGUAACACGUGGAUAACCUACCUAUAAGACUGGGAUAACUUCGGGAAACCGGAGCUAAUACCGGAUAACAUAUUGAACCGCAUGGUUCAAUAGUGAAAGACGGUUUUGCUGUCACUUAUAGAUGGAUCCGCGCCGCAUUAGCUAGUUGGUAAGGUAACAGCUUACCAAGGCAACGAUGCGUAGCCGACCUGAGAGGGUGAUCGGCCACACUGGAACUGAGACACGGUCCAGACUCCUACGGGAGGCAGCAGUAGGGAAUCUUCCGCAAUGGGCGAGAGCCUGACGGAGCAACGCCGCGUGAGUGAUGAAGGUCUUCGGAUCGUAAAACUCUGUUAUUAGGGAAGAACAAAUGUGUAAGUAACUAUGCACGUCUUGACGGUACCUAAUCAGAAAGCCACGGCUAACUACGUG